UGAAGUGGUAGGUAGCUUCUUAACUAACUAUCUUAUUGUAGUUUAGUUAAGUGAGAGGAAAGUCCAUGCUUGCAUAGUCUGAGAUGACUGUAGUGUUUGUGUAAGUACAUAAAAAAUAAAACUUAACGGCUAGUAAUAGACUAGUUGAUGGCGGAGAACCUUUCUAAAUAAGUGAAUAACUUACAAGAGUAAUUCUCUGUAAAGUGCCACAGAGACGAGCUCUAUAGAAAUAUAGAGUGUGAAACGAGGCAAACCCCUCAAGCAAGAAACCUAAAUAUUGGUAAGGGAACUUGAGCUAAGGAAGUGAACGAAGCUUAGGAAUCAAAUUGAUUAGAUUAAUUACCUACUUUUAUCUAACUCUAGAUAAAAACAGAACAUGGCUUAUUAUU
rnacentral:RNase_P_RNA from 2 species